ensembl:lncRNA
UGAUGGGCAUAUGGGAUUAUUUUGAGUUUAAUAGCAGAAAGUGUUUUGUGCAAGUGCUUUAACCAGUAAGGACAAAUGCUCAGGUAUCUCAAGAAAUGAGCAGUAUGCUGACAGCACUGCGGUCUCUGCCAGGUUACAGUGGCUGCAGGUCAUAAUUAGUAGUGCUGGUGAGUUCAAAAUUAUAUUUACAUACAAGACCUCCAUAAGUUCAAAAUUGUAACUAUAUUAGUUCAUGGAUAACUAUAUGAAUUAAGUUCAAUGUAGUAGAUAAUAUUACAGGUAAAAUCACUCAUGUUUAAAUGCUUAUGGAUUCAGUUUCUAUGUAUAUUGGAUUGUUUUGUGCUACUACUGUGGUUGAAGCUUUUUUAUUUGUGCUGUGUGAUCACUGGCAAACAUGUUAGCUGAAUGAAAUGCUUGCACUAACAUUUUAUUUAUAUAAAAAAUACACAGUAAAAACAUUAACAUCUUUGUAGUAUUUCAUGCAGGCAAAUGAUUUAGAAUUGGAAUUUUUAAGAAAAUGUUGGAGAGUUAGCAACCCAGUUACCACUGAAUAUUGAUGAAGUCGGACAGAGUGUUUUCUCUGAGAUGCCUGCUCUUGACUCAAAGGAAAGCUUGCAGACAGUCUUCUCUGGUAUGAGUAUAUAGCAAUACCUGAAAUCUGGAAAAUAUCCCACCAAGUGAUAAUGAACCAGAGCCAGGAACAAAUUGAGGAGUUAGUUAUGGUAUGUAAAAUCAUGUCAUUGAUCACUGUAUGUAUCAUUUAUGUUAACAGUGUCAAGACAGCCUGAAGGUUAUAUUACAAUCUCUAAAAAGUCUAAAAUUUUGCUACAGCAAUCAGACAACUGUUUUUGGCCCUAAAAUAUCUGAGAUUUUUAUCCUCUUCUUCCUAUACAAGUGUUCUUCUAAAAUUUUGUCUGUCUGAUGACACAAAUUUCUGUAUAGAAAUCACUUUUUUUGCCAGUCAUUUCAAUUGUUAAAUCACACAUCUGAUCAAAUAGUGACAAUUGGGAUAGCCUCAGAAUAAAAAAACAAACAUAGCUAUUCACUACGACACUGAAUUGUUUUUUUAAAUCAAGGAAUACUGCACACAGACUUUCAUUGUGUUAUGUGAGUAGAUAUUCCUUUUUUUUUUGUGGUGAGGAAAGCAUUCCUUAUUUGAUGAUGGCAUCCCAAGAAAGCUCAAUAAUUUAUUUAAAAUAUGAGUAUGUGCAACCUAAAUAGACAGGGAUCCUUCACUUUAUCUUGGGAUUUCAGUCCGCUGUUCCACUGUUCUCUGUUAAUCUUCAUUAUCAUUCUGAGUUGCAUGAAAGUGUAGUGAGGCCUACAGUGACACUUGAAAUUACAAAUAACUGUAUUGCUGCUAUGAUUAGUCCAUAUUAGAAGUCGGGAUUUCAGAUUAACCUUUGUAUAUACUUUGUUUUCAUCCAAGUCAGGAUGAACAGAGAUUGUGAAGGCUAUUGAGAUCAAAACAUAGAAAGGCACAGGAGCAAAUCAAACCCUGGCUGGUAUUUAGCACCUAAUGCAGCAAGAAGUCGAUGCCAAUGUAAAACACACCAGAAUAGUGCAUAUAAGCAGCUUGGAGCUGGUUUGUCUGUUGGAUAGAUAAUCAAAAAGGAAAAGGGGAGGCAACAGGGGAGUGUAAGAAAGCUUGUGCUGCAAAUAAGAAAUGCAAGUAAGCGGGCUGUGGAACUGGGUCCCAUAAACUUACAUCUCCAAAAUGUAGCAAAGGAAGUCUCCCAGCCUCCUUUACCUGAGCAGUUGUGUUAUCCCUUCUCCAAAAAUCUUCCUUUAUGCUUGUCUUGCUCUCUGUUCGGUGUUUUUCACCUUUGCUUGUCUGAUCACGUCUAAAUUUAGAUGAGGAAUUCUUGAGAAGCAGAGAUUGGUGUUAACUUGUUCCCUAGAGGUGUCUAGAGUACUUCCAGGUGCUGUGAUAUAGUGCAAGUCAAAAGGGAAACAGUCUUUGUUUAACAGAGCGCCCUAAUUCAAGUCGUACGCCUAUUUUGGAGGGUAAGGAAACAGUGUUGGCAAUUGAGAUUAGUCUGCCAUAAUGGAUAAGGGGCCACUUAACAAAACUGGGAUCUGAGCCUGAAUUUCAGACACUCUCAGCAUUUGACAUGAGAUUAUCACUUUUUGGAACUUGAUGAGCAACACUGAAGAGGUUAAUAUGAAGCCAACAUCAAGUAUGCUGAACUCGGGUCAUUGAAAAUACCAUUGCUAAUACUACCAGAAGUGUAUUUCCAGUAGAACAUCACAGCUUUGUUUAUCAAAAGCAGACAGCCAAAUUAUUAUCAGCUGCUGGAGAUGGGUGCAGAGGAUGUGCUGUCAAGUCUCUGCUUUGGUUUCCAAAUUUGAGCCAUUCUUUCUGUGAUGUAACAUAUUUUCCUGCUACAUGUAUGUUCUCAAUUGUUAAAUAGUUAAUAAUACAAGAAUUUAUACUUAUAGUAGGAUAUGGAUGGCUUUGGUUUAAUGGUUGAUUAAUUUCUUUGUUUGCUGCAUAACCUAAAAUAAUCUGGUUGCAAAUUUUCUUGCACUUCCUUCACCUCAGUGAUCAUGAACUACAAUAGAAGGAGAAAUGGGCCAAUGGUAUUGCUCAACCUAGCAGAGAACUUUGAAGAAUGAAAGGCUAAAAAUCUCAAUCCCAGCACAGACAAAAAUGGCAGACUAUUUUUAUCUAGGUUUGAGUUGUGUGUUUGAGUUAUGCUGCAGGAGCAUGGGAACCCUUUUUUCUGAGGGAAAAGACAGGACAACCUGGGAGAUGAAAAGCUUGUUUGCUUUAUGUUAAUUGUGCUAUUUUAGUAGAUGUUACUUGAAUUAGUACUUUGUUUUUCUGAAAGAGGAAAAAAAGAUUGUCAUGAGGACAGCAGAUACUAAAGCCAUUGCCAGAAACAGAUUCUGAAUGGAUAAAAUUGCACCAGAGGAGUUGCCCUGGGGUGGUGGCCCCAGACAACCGUUAAUGUGCAACACAAUACAGAUGAGUAAAUGUAAAUGGUUAACCAGCCUGAAAGUGUCUGCAGCUGUAAACGGCUCUCGGCUUUGGAAAGCUGAUGAUAGAGACUGACUGCUAGCUGUGCCUGGUAGCAGUAUAGGGAAACUGUUCACCUCCACAAAGAUUGGUAGAAGCUUUAAGCUGAGCAAACGUGGUAAAAAAAGAAACACGGCUAAUAAAUUCUGUAAUACAUUCCUUAUGCCAAGUGGGGUUUUCUCUUACUUGUUCUGGGUCUCCUCUCAGAAAAAAAAAAAAAAAAAAAAAGUGGGCCUCAGCCCAGGUGUAGCUCGUUCAUAGCCCAGCUGGGGCAGCAGGCACUUUAUGAGUGGCACCUGUGCUAGUAGCUGGGGUGGGGCUGUUUUAAACAAAAAAGGGACCGUUGUAUUGGCCAUAUAAGUUGUACCUGUGUCAGUAGCUGGGACUGUUUUAGACAGAGAAGGAUCUGUAGCAGUGGCUGUGUGUGUGGCUUUGUGUUUAUUCCUGACUUAGCAUCUGUAAGGUGAUAGACUCUGGAAAGAGCAGUCUUCAGUAUGUGUAAAAGAGUCAAGGCUUGUUGGAUGAGGCUGCCUUUACAUGCAGCAGAACUCCUUUGAGUCCUGGGUAAGAAGGAAACAGAAGCUGCUGUCUUACCAGUGUGUGCCAUGUAACCCAACAAUCUACGUGUGAUUUUACCUGCAGAGGUUCUUAGAGGCAGAUUAGCAAAGUACAGGGAGACGAACAUCAAAAGGAAGUUCAGUCUCAGAAAAGUUACAGACAGGAAUGUAUAGGACCAGAGUGCAGACAACUACUGACCCAAUGAAGUCACCUGGAAUUGCUUCACUGCUUACGGUAUCCUUUUUCCAGAAGACACUGGACAAACUGAGCUGUUGCACUGCAGUGGAAGGACACCACUGGCUCCAAGUGGUACAAUCUUGUCCGCCUCUCACUAGAGAAAGGAAACUGAAGGCCUGAGUGCUGCACUGGACAGAGGUGCAAGCGGUGAGUGCUUGCCCAGGUGGGGUGGGAAAUGCAACAUAGCAAUCAGAGAUCCUCAAAACUGGGUUGUGCAAAGAAACGCUCUCUGAGAGGUGAGGUGAGCUCCUGCAGGGAUGGCAGUGACACGAGGACUGGCAGCGUAGUAAGUGACACAGGUCACUGGAAAACAAGGGGGGGUGCAAACUACAACCACUGUUAGGCUUUACUGGGAGAAAAGUGAAUUUCCUCUCUUUUGUGCAUACCUGCUAGAAAACCCACAGGUGACAGCAGCAGAAUUUGAAGUCACAAGCAACUCCUUGAGCAAACUGGAGGUUUGUUGUGUUUGUUUAAGUGGGAAGUUUCUCUGAUUGAUGCAUGGUAAUUCACAGCUAUAGAUACAUCCUAAAAGAUGUUAUACUGUAGAUCAUAUGUUAUGCUAAUAGGAUCCAGGUGUGGGGUUAUAUUGAGGAUUUGUCACAAGCCGAUCAUAGUUUAUACUUUAUCUACUACAGGUUUAGGUCUGAUUCCUGAAAUUGUUGUUUGUGCAUGUGAUCCUUUCUCUCCCUGAGGGCUCAUUAAAUGUAUAUUUUAGUAAAUUGCUUUAUGUUUUUAAUACACUUGACUGACCCCUAGUGCUUAAUGGAAUUUUUUGUAACAGAAGUGCUGGAGCUGCAGUGGAAUGAUGGAUAGCAUCAAACUGCUUGAGAGAUGCAUCAAAUGUGAAGUCAAAAUGUGUGCAUAUAUGGGGGACAAAUAGGCUCUACUGAUACAAAUAGUUCCCUAUUGCCAUAUGAGCUAGUAAGUCUCAAGAGCAUUUAUCAAUAGGUUUAUUCCAGGAAGCUUUCUAGGGCUGAGGGACAGUAUGAUCAUCGGCAGGAGGAUAUUGGUGCUGCCAGAAACAAAGCUGCAAACUGCAAAGGAAUUUAAGAAAAUGCAUUCAGUGAUGUGUUUGUAAUAGUUUUACAUAUUUGUAAAACUGUGGAAUGAAUUAAUUAUAUUCCCAGAGCUUACAAUAUAAGGAAAUCUGAGAAGAUAAUAUUUUCCACUGAUGAUGAUAAUAAAUGUGAUCUAUAUUAAGUAGUUAAAAAAUACUUGAGCCAAAAUUCCAUAAAAAUUGGCAAGUCACGUUUGGGCAGUUUUUCUUGAAAACUGUCAAGAAUGUGAGCUAAAGGAGUGUUGCUGGAAAUCUAUAUGUCUUACUAUACCUCUAACGCUGCUGGAAAAAGCCAUGAGGUUUCAUUCUGGUUUAUGCAAAAAUAUGUAAAGUGCCAAAAUGCUCUGGGGAACUAAAAUGAUGUCCCCCCUCUCCCUGCCAUGGUGCUCAAUGCGGCUCGCUUUGUGCUGGGCCAGGGUGCUGCUGGCAGCGGUGCUCUGCUUGCCUCCAGUCUGCACCACCACCACCUGGUGCCCGGGAAGUACUUCAACACAUCUGUCAGUGCUUUCAGGGCGAGGGAGGCAGAGUCAUUCCUUUCUGAUUCCUGUGGCAGCUUGUAGUAUUUCCAGAGCAAGGUGGGUUUUUUUCCUUAUUGAGAAGGGAAUUUAAAACCUUUCAUGUAUUUGCAUGUAUUUAUAAAAAUGUCUAAACAUACGAAGUGUGUUUAGAGCUAUAUGCACGUGCAAAAUAAAUAUAUCUCUAGGUAUAUAUAUUUAGAGAUGAGACUGAUGCCAAAUCAGACUCGCCCGCUUUAAGCCCUGGAUUGCCCCUGUCCCUUUU